AGUGGGAGAGAGAAGACACCAGAAGAGGAAGCAAGCUAUGAGAACUGGCGCUCACGGGAGAGCAGGAGCACCCACAAAGGAGCCCAGGAAAAAGACUGGAGAGAACCUGAGAAGGACCAAAAGCCACUGGGCCCCAGGACUCCUGUGUCAAAGAGUGGAAUCUCUCUUGGACCAUCACAAACGCCCCGGGAGGAGGGCAGGGGCCCUUCACCAUCUCUGCUUGGAAGCGCGUCAUCACGUCAAGUAAUACAUCAUCAGAAAGACGCAUGUGCCACAUCCUGAGGAAUUAUGGAGUGUUCUAAGGCGGAUGAUCAUCUCUAAUCCAGCAUGCAAUUACCUUACAGUCAAAGACCAUCAGUCAUGGCCAGUUUCCCCAAUCAGGGUGUGAGACACUGCCCAUGAACAGAGAGAGACACGCCCUGCCCUGAAGAAUUUACAGUCUGAAGCCCCAACUCUACAAACACAACUCUGCAUGGACCCAGGCCUCCAAUCAUAUUGAUCUAAUUGCAGGAUCAGUAUCUUCUGUUGGAGACCAAUGGAUCACUACAGUUUCUCAUUUGCCAAUGAAUACUUCCCCAGAUGUGCUUUUCUCCAAAUGCUCCUGUGUCCUAAAUCUCACUACAAGUUUCAGAUAAAUCUCAUUUGAAGUUUCUCAAAUGAUUGACAACUCAGCUAUUUUUCAUAUGUGGUACACACACAAAAAGGUACAAAAACUUUUUAAAAAAAAUUAACACCUCCCCCCUUCCCUGAGUUUCAUCUCAACAAAAUACCAUGUACGAAUGAGUUCAAAUCUGGGCAAAAUAAAUUUCUUCAGUAGCCGCAGGACAGGCAAACUUUGAUGGAAAAAAGUGACCUUUCUGAAGACUUUUUGGAU